UUCUAGUGUCUUCAUGACAUCAGAGGUCUUUCCCAGAGAGGCUACUCUUUUUAAAUCACAAAGUAUUCUCCAGACAUUUAAUCUUUAUGACAUCACAGAGAUUCUAUUUAUGACAUUGCAGGUCUCCAAGAUAUUCUAGUGUCUUCAUGACAUCAGAGGUCUUUCCCAGAGAGUCUACUCUUUUUAAAUCACAUAAAGUAUUCUCCAGAUAUUUAAUCUUUAUGACAUCACAGAGGUGAGGUCUUCAAGAGAUAGUCUACUUGUGACAUCACAGGUUUCUCCCAGACAUUCUAGUCUCUUUAUGACUUCACCCCAGACAUUCCAGAUAAUUUACUUGACAACAUCAGAUUAGAAUAACUCUAUUCAACUCCACCAAUAUAAAAUUCUAAUAACCAAAUCAAAUACUCACUCCCACAUCUUAGCCCUACUUCAGGAAUCUCUCAGUCUCCAUGACGUGGCCAUGGAAACGGUGUUAAGCUGAGAACAGGUCUCAGAGCAGUGGUAAUCCUGCGAGGACGUGACCUGAUACCUUGCAGCUCCUGUAUGCCCUACUAAUAUCACACUAACACCAUACAGAACCUAAUACAGUGCUAUUAAAACUAUAACACCAUGAUAAACCUAGCUAGGUGUUACACCUGUCAUUUACCCAUCAGACUAUAACACCAUGAUAAACCUAGCUAGGUGUUACACCUGUCACAGUCUAUAACACCAUGAUAAACCUAGCUAGGUGUUACACCUGUCACAGUCUAUAACACCAUGAUAAACCUAGCUAGGUGUUACACCUGUCACAGUCUAUAACACCAUGAUAAACCUAGCUAGGUGUUACACCUGUCAUCUAACCAUCAGACUAUAACACCAUGAUAAACCUAGCUAGGUGUUACACCUGUCACAGUCUAUAACACCAUGAUAAACCUAGCUAGGUGUUACACCUGUCAUCUAACCAUCAGACUAUAACACCAUGAUAAACCUAGCUAGGUGUUACACCUGUCAUCUAACCAUCAGACUAUAACACCAUGAUAAACCUAGCUAGGUGUUACACCUGUCAUCUAACCAUCAGACUAUAACACCAUGAUAAUAGACAGGAGUUUUAACCUCUAAGCCAUAAGAACGAUAGUUUACUACAGUCCUAGGUAGUACUGAUCACUCGGGGCUGUUCUUGCUCAGACAAGGCUUAAAACUACUUCAGGUUGUACCUGGAGCUACACAGCACUAUACAGACUGACUGGGCUCAGACAGACAGACAAACAAACAGCACUAUACAGACUGACUGGGCUCAGACAGACAGACAGACAGCACUAUACAGACUGACUGGGCUCAGACAGACAGCACUUCUGACCCGAGUACAGUGGAACGUCCUACAUUAGACUAAUAGUCCUAUCUAGCCUGCACCUGUUGUACCAUUUAACACAGAG
rnacentral:lncRNA from 13 species